rnacentral:rRNA from 1 species
AUGCAUGAGGAUCUCAUGCAUUCUCAAAACCCCCUUCCAGAUCACAGUGGGGUGAUAGCAGCUUUAUCACGCUUUGGUUGUAAACAGGUUGCGACCUGCCAGGACAAUAACACCACAUUCAAACUCAAAGUUGGACUUAUUGGCUUUGGAUCCAUCGGAAGGCAAGUAGCCGAGGCUUUAUUUGAGAUGAAAGAUGCCGACCUGAUAGCAAUAUGUGAUAGCUCGACAGUUGCUGAAAUGGCUAUUGCUUGGAAGAGCAGCAAGAUCAGUUUAAUGGCCUCUGGUGAAAGUUCACUCAUGUUCAUGAAGCAAACUACUGGAUUUGGUAAAAAUGUUGGCGUCCUGGUGUCAGUUCUCAACCCCAGGCAACACGAGAAAUGCCCUUGGGGCAACAUUCCUGUGAAUUAUGUUAUUGAUACACUUAGUCUCUUCUCCGAGGACAAGCACUUUGUGUACUCAGCACACGACCGGGUUGACCCACCCUGUACCGAUGGCAGAAUUGAUACCGAUUUGCCAAAGCAGCUGCCAAAGAGCCUACCUGGUACUGUCUACACAAUGAUGUAUGCUGACGAGCGAGUUCCCAAUGGCUUCGAUCCCUCAGUGAAAUACUUGAAGGUUAUGGUCAAUUCUGAAGCUGUUAAGAAGUCUAUUGUUGAAAAUUUACCUGAAUGGAAAGGUGUCUCCGCAAACAUUUGCUUCUAUGCUGAAACUGACCCAACAAAGAGGCUAUGUGAUCCGCUGACGGAGCUUCUUUCCAGCAACGAGGAGCAGGAGGCUGAAGAGAACGAACCAGGAGACGGGUUGAUCUCUGUAUUGACCUGUUGCAUCCGUAUCCUGAAGUCUGUGGCAAUCGGAGGCAUCUUCUUGAUGUUCUAG